rnacentral:rRNA from 1 species
UGCAGUCGACGGUAGCACAGAGAGCUUGCUCUCGGGAUGACGAGUGGCGGACGGGUGAGUAAUGUCUGGGAAACUGCCUGAUGGAGGGGGAUAACUACUGGAAACGGUAGCUAAUACCGCAUAACGUCGCAAGACCAAAGAGGGGGACCUUCGGGCCUCUUGCCAUCAGAUGUGCCCAGAUGGGAUUAGCUAGUAGGUGGGGUAACGGCUCACCUAGGCGACGAUCCCUAGCUGGUCUGAGAGGAUGACCAGCCACACUGGAACUGAGACACGGUCCAGACUCCUACGGGAGGCAGCAGUGGGGAAUAUUGCACAAUGGGCGCAAGCCUGAUGCAGCCAUGCCGCGUGUAUGAAGAAGGCCUUCGGGUUGUAAAGUACUUUCAGCGGGGAGGAAGGUGUUAAGGUUAAUAACCUUAUUCAUUGACGUUACCCGCAGAAGAAGCACCGGCUAACUCCGUGCCAGCAGCCGCGGUAAUACGGAGGGUGCAAGCGUUAAUCGGAAUUACUGGGCGUAAAGCGCACGCAGGCGGUCUGUCAAGUCGGAUGUGAAAUCCCCGGGCUCAACCUGGGAACUGCAUUCGAAACUGGCAGGCUG